ensembl:lncRNA
CCAUAACCGUUGAGUGCCCCUGUGUGUGACAGAGACCAAGGAGGAGGUUUCUGACACAUCUGGCCUGGUGAGCUGAACCAGGUCAGAAAGGGCAAAUUAUAGAUGCAGGCAGAUCCAAUCGUCCAGCCCGGACCUUUGGCUCCUGAUACCAACAACGACGGAUACCCAGAGGGUUAAAAGUGGACUCAACAUGCCACUGCAGUAUGUACUAUUACGUUUGUCAGAAAAAGAAAGCAACGCCAUCUGCUGGCGAAGAGAAGCCAUUGUAAUGCAGCAUGGCAAAUAUCUUAUUUACAUAAAUCAAUUUGGCUGGCAGUGGCAAAUUGUACUGCUCUUUUUGUCAGUGAGUGACAACACUAAUGUUCACCAAAUAAGUGAUUAGCAGCUAAAUUGAGAAUUAAAUAGUGCGUUGUUGCAUCUCUAACUAGAUCAAUAGAUGAAUGUUUACAGACUGGGCACGUGCAGCUAAUCCUAACUGCUCGAGUCAAAAAGAUGGACAGCAAACGAAUGAGUACUUGAUCGAGUUGUCCAGCUCAAGGAGAAGACAAGAUACAUUGUCAACAAAAAAGAUCAAAUUAACGAAGUGUAACAGCAAGCCUGCACUGUCCAAGAAGAAACGAAAGGAUGAGAGAAGGUCGAUGCCUCCACCACGACCCGUGAUAGAGACCGCUGCCCGAUGUCAAGGUGAAGGAGAGAGAUCACAGAGACGGAGAAGUCCUAGCGUUGGCCAAAGAUUCUCGUUCCUUCCUUGUUCCUCCAUGUCCGAUACAGGCACUCCUCAGAGCAUGAUGAAUGAAGACCUCUUCACCUUCUACCAGAGAGACGAGCACACGUCAACCAACCAACCUCAGUGGGCAGCCAGACAGGCUGUGUUAAGGACCAUCGGUAGGAUGCUGCAGGAGAACAGAAGCAUCAGAGAGAGACUGGUCUCCCUCAGCCAUAGCAUAGGCUAUACAUUGAACUCAGUCUGAAGACUAGAUUACAAUCUGGGAAUGAUACAUAGAUUAUGGAACUUCUCUUUCCCUCUCAAACUCAGGAAUGGAAUAUUUUUUAUUUGUUUCCCUUCAAUGUUAUGAUUUUGUUUUAACCAAGUUUAUGGACUACCUGGCAAAUGUGCUGAUUUGAGAUGGAAUGAAGAUGAGGUUAUUUAUGUUACCUGAAACUAAACCUGUACUGUACAUCUCGAGCAAUCUGUUCCUAUAGUUUCCUCUGGUUGAAGAAAUAGACUAAUAUACGUUGGUUUUGAUGGGGAACACACAGAUUUUUACUGUUGUCAACUAUUUUGACUGUUGUCAUGGGGAACAAAGAGUUCUGAAUUAAAACAACUUCUUGAGGAGAAAGUGUUGUUAAUUUCUGUUAUGUCUGGUGAGCUAUAACAGGUCAACCCACCCUCCUGGAGUGCUACUACUGGGUAUGAAGGCUGUUGCACCAGCCCUUCUUCCUCAUGGAGAACCUCACCUCUUUUUCCACUAGAGGGAAGUGUCUCUAUUUUGUGUGUGUGUGGGUGUGUUAGAUACUGUACACUCAGCCACCUAAAGGUAGAAUACACAGGUCAGCCACAGCUCAACUUUCUCAGUCAGAGGUUCUCAGUAGAGCCUGUGAGUGUCCAAAAUGGCACCUUAAUCCCUUUAUAGUGCACUACUUAUGAACAGAACCCUAUGUGUUUCUGUUCCCUGCUCAUUAUUAGUGAAUUAACAACCCACAGCCAACAUGUGGUUCUGUUUCCUGCUCCUUAUUAGUGAAUUAACAACCCACAGCCAACAUGUGGUUCUGUUUCCUGCUCCUUAUUAGUGAAUUAACAACCCACAGCCAACAUGUGUUUCUGUUCCCUGCUCCUUAUUAGUGAAUUAACAACCCACAGCCAACAUGUGGUUCUGCUUAUCCUAACAUCAUUAGCUGUAGUAUUUACAGGCCAGUUGUGUUGCCCUGUGUAUCACAACACACUCAAGUCUGGCCUUGUACAGUAUACACAUGGAACACAACACACACACAGAAAAACAUCCCCUAAAGGAUCAGCUAUAUUGAUCAACUGACA